UGGGGGGUAACGGAGCCUGGAGUGGUCGCCCAUUGGAUGGGCAUCGGGCCAAUGGCGGGGUGCGAAACGGGAGGGGCGGGCCUCACAGCGGGGCGGGGCGCGCCUGUGCCGUGUCGCGUGCCGAGCCGCGAGCCCCAGUCAGGCCAGGUAACGGCCUCUGCCCCCGCCCCUCCCUCCCCGCUCGGGCUUCCCCUACCCGCACACUGGCUCCAGGCAGCGCCCGAGCGGCGGAGGCGGCUGCGGAGACGGCGGGGUGCGGGCUGAGGGAGCCGGGCCUGGACGCCCCCCCCAUCACCCCCGUACCCCAGGAGCUGUGCCUAGUCCAGGAGAGGCUGGGGGGCGCCCCAUGGAGGUGAGACGCGGAGACACCUGCCCGCGCCCUCACUCCUCAGGCCUGAGGGAGGAAGGACUUGAGCCCAAAGUCGCGUUCCCCGGAGGUGCGAAUCGCUGUUGGAACCUCGGCGCCGACGCCGGCAGCAGGUUAACCGACGUCUUCGGCAGCGUGAUGUUGACUGGCUCCGCUUCCUUCUACGAUUGCUACACAUCGCAGAGUGAAGACAAUGUAGACCUAAGGCAGACCUAUACUCCAUUUUCUUCAACAGAAUAUUCAAGUUCUGUAGAUUCUUCACUUUUCUGUGCACCAUGGUCUACUUAUGGAGAUGACAUUAAACAACCUUCUAAUUCUCAGAUCAGUAUAAAGAACAGGAUUCAAACAGAAAGAAAUGACUAUGGCAGUGAAACAGACUUAUAUGGACUUGUGUCUAACAUUUUGGAAGAACAAGAUAAGUCACAGCCAUAUUUUGCUGAAGGGACCUGCUCCUCCAAUUUAAAGUCAGUUUGGCCAAUGAACACAAGCAGAUUUGCAGAUCACCAUGACCUCUUAACAGAAACCAAAAGGCCAAUAGAUACAGUCAUCUCUCAGCAAGCUUUUUAUAGUGGUGAAUCUGUGUCAGCAAUGGAAAAGCAAUACCUGCGUAACAGUAAUCUCACACCACAACAAAAAAUAGAUGAACUUUAUCAUGGAUUUACUGGUUUAGAUCUUGAAGAACAAUGGAUGUACCCCUCACGAAGUGAUCAUUCUAACUGUCACAAUAUUCAGACAAAUGAUACAGCUAAGACAAUAUUCCAAGAAUAUCCACUUAUCAAAAACUGUUUUACACCCCAAACUGGUCUGUCUGAUAUCAUGAAAGAAUCAGGAGUUGAUAUCUACCCUUAUGGAAGAGACAGAAUAUGUACUAAAGGUCUUGAAGCACCACUACAGCAAAAAAGGGCAGAGAUGUUUCUUUCUCAAUUUAAUAGAUACAAUGAAAAUGUAGAUUAUUGUAGAGACCCAGAGUAUGUUCAUCCUAAUAAGGCUAAGCUUAAUAAAUGUUCAAAUUUUAGUGUCCAAGAUAGCAAAAAAUUAGCCAAUGGCAUACCUGAAACACCAACUGUAGAAGCAGACACCUACACAAAGUUAUUUCAGGUUAAGCCAGCGAAUCAGAAAAAAAUGGAGGAGACAAUCCCUGAUCAGCAGAAUUUCACAUUUCCAAAAACUACGCCACAUCUGACAGAGAAACAGUUUGCAAAGGAAGCAGUAUUCACUGCUGAUUUUGGCUUAACAUCAGAAUAUGGACUAAAACCGCACACAGCUUGUCCCGCUAAUGAUUUUGCUAACGUCACAGAAAAGCAACAGUUUGCUAAACCUGAUCCCCCACAUUCUGAGUAUUUUAAAUCAGUGAAUUUAUUAUCAAACUCAGCAACAUCUUCAGGAGGUAUCAAUUUAAACAGACCAACUUGGAUGAAUGUUCAAACAAAAAAUAACACUCCUAUUCCUUAUCGAAAUCAAGGUAACUUCAUGAAAUUAAAUAGUCAUUUAAGUGCAGCUUCAAAAGGUUCUAACCAUUCUUCAGAUUUCCCCCAACUAUCAUCCACAAACUUAACCCCAAAUAGCAAUUUAUUUCAGAAAUAUUGCCAAGAAAACCCUUCAGCAUUUUCUAGUUUUGAUUUUAGUUACAGUGGUGCAGAAAGAAUCCAAUCUGUCAAUCACAUAGAAGGACUAACAAAGCCUGGAGAAGAAAAUCUCUUCAAAUUGGUCACGGAUAAAAAAAUAAAGCAGCCAAAUGGAUUUUGUGAUAACUAUUCAGCUCAGCAGUAUGGGAUAAUUGAAAAUGUAAACAAACAUAAUUUUCAAGCCAAGCCCCAGAGUGGACAUUAUGAUCCUGAGGAAGGUCCAAAGCAUUUAGAUGGCUUAUCACAAAAUACAUACCAAGAUCUACUGGAGUCACAGGGUCAUUCUAAUAGCCACAGAACGAGAGGUGGAGACAAUAGCCGUGUGAAUCGCACACAAGUGUCAUGCUUUUCUAAUAAUUAUAUGAUGGGAGAUUUAAGGCAUAAUCAGGGUUUUCAACAACUUGGUUCAAAUGGGUUUCCCCUAAGAUCCACCCACCCAUUUGGCCAUUCAGUUGUUCCACUGUUGGAUUCCUAUGACUUACUUUCUUAUGAUGACUUAAGCCAUUUGUACCCUUAUUUUAAUAUGAUGUAUGGUGAUAAUUCUUUUUCUGGUCUCAUGCCAACUUUUGGAUUUCAAAGACCAAUUAAAACCCGUAGUGGACCAGCCAGUGAACUUCAUAUUCGUCUAGAAGAGUGCUGUGAACAAUGGAGAGCAUUAGAAAAAGAGAGAAAAAAGACUGAAUUAGCCCUUGCCAAGAAUUAUCCUGGAAAAAAAGUAUCCAGUACUAACAACACUCCAGUUCCAAGGCUGACUUCCAACCCAUCUAGAGUUGAUCGCUUAAUUGUGGAUGAACUUCGAGAACUAGCCAGAGUUGUGACUUUACUAGGCAAAAUGGAACGUCUUCGGAGUUCUCUUCUUCAUGCCAGUAUCUCUACUGCUCUUGAUAGACACUUGGAGUCUAUUCACAUUGUACAGUCACGUAGAAAGGAUGAAAUUGUUAAUGCUUCCAAUCGGCAAAGGCAAGGAGUUCCUAGAUGCCAAGAUGACAGAGAUGUUUUUGCCCUUGCUUCAGCAAUUAAAGAGAUGUGUGUGGCUACUCGGAAAACACGCACUGCCCUGUGGUGUGCACUGCAGAUGACCUUGCCAAAAACAGCCAGUACAGCUGAUGUGCAUUAGUUUGAGAGUAUACUUAACUGUGACAUACAUAGCAGAGUCCCAGAAGAAAGAACUGACUACUAACAAAUUGAAACAAGUACCCUUCAGGGGACCGUGGAUAUAACCUGACUCCUUCAGUGACAAAAAUCAAGCUUGUCCUGUUCCUUCUUCCUUUGGGAUUCAUCCCGAAGUGAGUCUCGCUCCAGUUUUCGGGCAUUAAGGACAUCUUCCACAUUGGUGUUUCGGAACAGAACUACAGAAACAGCUCCAAAUAAUGAUGGACUGAUCAAGAAGCUGGUACCAAGAAGUCUCGAAGUUAUUUCAACAGCUUCAUGGAGUGUUUGGAAACUUCCCAGCUUGAACUUCCGAGCUUCCUCACAGGCUGUGUUAAAGUUUUCCCAUUUAUAAGCCAAUCUUGCCAGAAGAGGCUCUGGAACGCAAAUGGGUUACUGCCAGAAGAAUCUGGGACAGCUGCACUAGUGUUAUAUUUCAACCAUGUACCCAAUCUAUGAACUGCUUCCACCAAAUGGUCACUCUGGCACCCAAGCUGGAGUGCAGUGGCACAAUCACGGCUCACUGCAGCCACAGCCUCCUAGGCUCAAGUGAUCCUCCCACUUCAGACUUCUGAGUAGCUGGGACUACAGGCUAAGGACUAAGUUUAUCUCUCUUCGUUAAAGCUCUGAUCUCUCUCAUACCCUCCUUCCCACCACCAAUGAUUACUGUAAAUACUGUAAUGGAUCAAGCACGACGUUUGCUUCAGUUCUGCGUGGGCAUGAAAAGACUUCUACCACCAGCUUACCUUUUAUGGACUCCUACAUCCAUAUAAGAAUCAAAAGGGCACUUCCUGCAGGCUUCUGUCAUGGGACAGCCCUGGGAACUGCCUUGUAAUAGGCACAGACCUCCCAAGUGCAUUUUAAUACCCCCAGUGAACACUGUAAACGGAUGGAAAUGGAAUUGGUCGUCAGAUAUUUAUGAUAACAUUCCCAUUCUGACAUUUCAAUGCCUUCGGAAGAACCCUCCUCGGCUCACUCACAAGCAUCGGAGAGGGCCUUGUCCCCAAGAAUACGAGAAAGCCCUUCCUCUCUGUGUACCUGCAGCUUUCAGGCUUCCCACACCUGGUUGGGGAGCAACCUCCUUCCCCCGCCGCCCAGAUAUCAGAGGAGUAUACCUCUCCCAGGAUACCCAAGAUGUAGGCUCCAUAAACGGCUCGGUCCACUCCCAGUGCCUCCAACCGUCCGUCCAGCCAGGAGCCAAAGCCGCUGCCUCCGCCAUCGCCUUCGCCAGGGGCUAUCGUGGCCACUUCGCUGGGCGCCGCCAUCUUGGGGUCAGGGUCCUGCAAGCCCCUAGGGCGCCUACCGCAGUGCCUGACGGGCCGCGCCGCAGGUCCACCGCGCAUGCCUGAAGAGGGAGCCCAGGCCCGUAAGUGCAAAGAGCGCAGCCGUGUCGGCCGGCUUGAGAGUUUUGUGCUUUCUAGAUGAAGCGCGUCUUCGCAUACGUGCGGUCGCGUGAUCUCACAAGAUGCUUGGCAUGUGAGUAUUCUUAACAGACUCAUUCUACAGUUCGGGAAGUUGAGAGAGGUGCAGUAAUUUGGCCAAAGUCACGCGGCUAAUAACUACCCAGGACUGGAGCUCAGCGUGGAUUCCAUCGCUUCCUCCACCCGACCGAGCUGCCUUCCCCGCGCUUUCGGGGGAUGCUGGCCGCCCACUCCCACACAGCUGUCUGGCAAGAACCUCCUGACAGCCUGGAAUACCCUCGUCGUCGCUACCGACGGCUACCACCUUCACCUGUACAAGCCCUUCCCUGUCAAAGUAAAGGUUGCAGAAAACCUUCCCUGAUUCCAUGGUAGGCACUCAGUAAAUAAACAGGCAACCUCAAGUUAUUUCUUCCACUCAUUGA